UACGGAGGGUGCAAGCGUUAUCCGGAUUCACUGGGUUUAAAGGGUGCGUAGGCGGCUAAAUAAGUCAGUGGUGAAAGCUUACAGCUUAACUGUGAAACUGCCAUUGAAACUGUUUAGCUUGAAUCUGGUUGAAGUGGGCGGGAUACAUCAUGUAGCGGUGAAAUGCUUAGAUAUGAUGUAGAACACCGAUUGCGAAGGCAGCUCACUAAGCCAACAUUGACGCUGAGGCACGAAAGCGUGGGGAGCGAACAGG
rnacentral:rRNA from 1 species